AACGCACAUUGCGCCCGUUAGUAUUCUAGCGGGCAUGCCUGUUCGAGCGUCAUUUCAACCCUUAAGCCCCUGUUGCUUAGCGUUGGGAGCCUACGGAGUACCCCUCCGUAGCUCCCCAAAGUCAGUGGCGGGGUCGGCCUCACGCCCUAGACGUAGUAGUUUCUAUCUCGCCUAUGGAUGAGCCGGUCCCCUGCCGUAAAACCCCCCAAUUUCUAAAGGUUGACCUCGGAUCAGGUAGGAAUACCCGCUGAACUUAA
rnacentral:misc_RNA from 1 species